rnacentral:lncRNA from 1 species
GGUUGGGUUGAUCGAGCCAUCUUCGGGCCUGAUCAUUCAUUAGUUAGAAAUACUGAGUAGGUUCAUAUUAAUGGUUUGACCUAACCAAAACUUUCAGUAGAGGUCCAUCACCUACUGAAAUAAAAUUUAGGAUGAAAUUAAUUAUUAAAAAUUAUUUUAAAAAAUAAUUAGUUGAGAACCUAUCCAUAGGUGCAUAUGGAUUGAUCGAGCCAUCCUCGAGCCUGUA